rnacentral:lncRNA from 1 species
AGAUUACAGAGCAGCAAAUAUUCUGAUGGAUAUUUCUCCAAGAUGAUCAGGAUACCUUCCAAAGAAGCCAAAGGCAUUACAGGGAUGCAAAAUUUGAAUACGAAGGAAGAAACUCAAGAGUGCCUGAUCCAAAUCCCACUGGACUAGUGCCAAACUUGUCCUUGACCAGAGUGAGGUUUUGUUGAGAUCCCAUGCUCUGAUUUUGGCAGUCAGGUUGGCCACCACAUCACAACCCACUUCAGUUUGAAACAGUAUAUUUUUCAGAGCUACUGAUUAUAGCAACUGAUGCAAAGAGUCAGAAGAGUAACAGGCUGUGAGGUUCAGCAGAUCUCAACCUCCUGGAAAUUCCACAUGAUGUCUGGAAUAGCUGCACUCAGUGCAGUGCAGAGGGUUUUACAGUACAUGAAAGGGUGCCUGUAAAUGUGAGCUGAGCAAGAAGCCCUCUGUGCACAGCAUCCCAGGAACAGCAGCAAGUGUGUCAGUGACAGCACAGAAGAAAUUUUCCAUGACUGUGUUUGGAGCUCUCACAAGUCUAACAUAACCGUACCUGCAGAUUACAGUACUCAAGAAAUUUGAAGGCAAUAAAGAGGUCAUGCAAAUGGAAAGAUAUUUAAAG